UAGCAAUAUUCUGUAGUCGGAGCGGCGCAAGGGUGCGUAACACGUGGGUAAUCUGCCAUGAAGUUUGGGAUAACUCGCUGAAAGGCGAGCUAAUACCGGAUGUGACGAUUGGAAGGCAUCUUCUGAUCUUCAGAGUUGGGGACCGUAAGGCCUGACGCUUCAUGAUGAGCCCGCGGCCUAUCAGCUAGUUGGUGAGGUAACGGCUCACCAAGGCUAAGACGGGUAGCUGGUCUGAGAGGACGACCAGCCACACUGGAACUGAGACACGGUCCAGACACCUACGGGUGGCAGCAGUCGAGAAUUUUUCACAAUGGGGGAAACCCUGAUGGAGCGACGCCGCGUGGGGGAUGAAUGGCUUCGGCCCGUAAACCCCUGUCAUUCGCGAACAAUGCCUGUGUAUUAACACCAUACAGGUUGAUAGUAGCGGAAGAGGAAGGGACGGCUAACUCUGUGCCAGCAGCCGCGGUAAUACAGAGGUCCCAAGCGUUGUUCGGAUUCACUGGGCGUAAAGGGUGCGUAGGCGGUCGGGUAAGUCUGAUGUGAAAUCUCACAGCUUAACUGUGAAACUGCAUUGGAUACUAUUCGGCUUGAGGUCUGGAGGGGGGACUGGAAUUCUCGGUGUAGCA
rnacentral:rRNA from 1 species